rnacentral:misc_RNA from 1 species
CGGGAGAGCAGAGCGACGACCUGUCCCCCUCUUCGGAAAGAGAAAUUUCCCUAGAGAGACAGAGGGGGAGACGGUGAGUAAAUUGUUUGCUUGGAGAAAAUAAAAAAAUUCAAGGAGAGAAAUUAUAGCUUUAAACCUGUAAUUCAAUCGAGGGUUUGAGAGAGAUCUCCGCAAGCGCGCGCGCGCACACACAUGGAUCAGAUACUGAACAAGGUUGGAUCUUAUUGGUUGGGCCAGAGGGCCAACAAGGAGCUCAAUUCCGUCGGCGAUGAUAUUAACUCAUUUUCAAGCAGUAUUGGAGGAGGAACCAAAUGGUUAGUCAACAAAAUAAAAGGA